AGCAGAAAUAGCUACAUUAAUUUCAGAUAAAAUAGUUUUUAGGGCAAAGAAAUUACUAGGGACAAAGAGCAAUACUGUAUAAUGAUAAAAACAUUAAGUGAAAAAGCGACUCCUGGGUGGCUCAGUUGGGUAAGCAGGGACUCUUGAUUUUGCCUCAGGUCAUGAUUUCAGGGGUCCUAGGAUUGAGUCCCACCCCAGACUCUGUGCUGAGUGGGAAGUCUGCUUGGGAUUCUCUCUCUCCCUGUACACUUCCCCACUCUCUCUCUCCCCUAAAUAAAUAAAUACAUAUUUAUUUAUUUAUUUAUUUAUUUAUUUAUUUAUUUAUUUAAAUCUUAUUUUAAUAAAAAACAUUAAUUGACCAAGAAUGAAUAUAUAGCAACCCUAACUUUUAUCUUUUAAAUAAUACUUGAAAAUACAUGUAACAAAAGCCAAGAGAUCUUGAAAGAAGAAAUAGACAACCCUACAGUUUUAGUUGAGGCCUUAAGCACUCCAGUCUCAACAGUUUAUAUUGGCUAAAAAAUCAACAAAGAUACAGAAAUUAACAGCACCAUCAACUAAAAAGAUCUAAUGGAUUUUAUAGAGCAUUCCACCUAGCAAAGUUAGAAUAUAUGUUCUCUUCAUGUGUCUGUGGAACAAUCAUUAAGACAGAUUGCAUUUUGGAUCAUGAAACAAACGUUAACAAAUUUUAUGACAAGAGAAAAAUCUUCAACAAUGUAGAAAUUAAACACAAAAUUAUAAAUAUUCCUUGGUCCUAAGAGAAAGUAUCAAAGGAGAUUUAAAAAUUCAGUAAAUUUAUUGAAAAUGAAAAUACAACAUCAGAAGUUAUUGCAUACACACAAAGCAGUUCUGAAAGCGAAAUUUAUAGCACUUAAAUGCCUAUGUUAGGAAAGACUGAAUAUCUCAAAUCAAUAAUCCAAGUUCCCACAUCAAAAAACUAGAAAAGGAGCAAAAUAAAUCUAAAGUAAGCCAAAAGAAGAUAAAUAUAAGAAUGUAGGUCAAUGCAUCCUUUAGUAAAAAUUAGCAAGGUAAAAUCUGGUUCUUAAAAACAAAAUAAAAUAUUAAGUCUUUAUCAAGAGUGACAAAGAUAAAAACACUGAAAAUACACAUCUCAAAUGUAUGGAAUGAAAUAGAGAAUAUCAAAAAAGCUCCUGCAGUCAUUGAAAUCAUCAUAAGGGGCUACUAUAAAAAAAACUUCCAUUUUGAAUUCACCAAUCUGAGAAAUGGAAUCAUUUCCUGUGGACAACAGACCAUUAAACUUGGAAGAAAAGAAAAAAAAGAUAAAACAAAUUGUCUAAUACGAUUAAAUAAUUUACAUUUGUAUUAAAAUCUUCUGAAAAGUAAUCUCUAGGCUGAGAUGGCUACUGAAGACUUUUGCCAAAUAUUUAAAGAGGAAUUGAGACCAUUUUAUAUAUAACAUUUUUGGGAAAAUAAUAGAGGGGGAGGAGGGAGCAUUUUUCAACUCGUUUUAUGAAUCCAGUAUCAAGUGAUGCCCAAAGCAGACAAGGACAACACAUACAGAGAAGAAUACUAAAGAAGGAUAUUUCUCUUAUAUACUUAGAGGUAAGAAACCUCAAAAAUAAAUUAGGAAACCAAAUCAAACAAUGGUUCCAGGUAUACAAGGCUAGUUCA
rnacentral:lncRNA from 1 species